rnacentral:rRNA from 1 species
AGCGAACGCUGGCGGCAGGCUUAACACAUGCAAGUCGAACGGGCGUAGCAAUACGUCAGUGGCAGACGGGUGAGUAACGCGUGGGAACGUACCUUUUGGUUCGGAACAACCCAGGGAAACUUGGGCUAAUACCGGAUAAGCCCUUACGGGGAAAGGAUUUAUCGCCGAAGAUCGGCCCGCGUCUGAUUAGCUAGUUGGUGAGGUAACGGCUCACCAAGGCGACGAUCAGUAGCUGGUCUGAGAGGAUGACCAGCCUCAUUGGGACUGAGACACGGCCCAAACUCCUACGGGAGGCAGCAGUGGGGAAGUAUUGGACAAUGGGCGGCAAGCCUGAUCCAGCCAUGCCGCGUGAGUGAUGAAGG